GACGAACGCUGGCGGCGUGCUUAACACAUGCAAGUCGAACGGAAAGGCCCUGCUUUUGUGGGGUGCUCGAGUGGCGAACGGGUGAGUAACACGUGAGUAACCUGCCCUUGACUUUGGGAUAACUUCAGGAAACUGGGGCUAAUACCGGAUAGGAGCUCCUGCUGCAUGGUGGGGGUUGGAAAGUUUCGGCGGUUGGGGAUGGACUCGCGGCUUAUCAGCUUGUUGGUGGGGUAGUGGCUUACCAAGGCUUUGACGGGUAGCCGGCCUGAGAGGGUGACCGGCCACAUUGGGACUGAGAUACGGCCCAGACUCCUACGGGAGGCAGCAGUGGGGAAUAUUGCACAAUGGGCGGAAGCCUGAUGCAGCAACGCCGCGUGCGGGAUGACGGCCUUCAGGUUGUAAACCGCUUUCGCCUGUGACGAAGCGUGAGUGACAGUAAUGGGUAAAGAAGCACCGGCUAACUACGUG
rnacentral:rRNA from 1 species